rnacentral:rRNA from 1 species
AGCGAACGCUGGCGGCAGGCCUAACACAUGCAAGUCGAACGAACUCUUCGGAGUUAGUGGCGGACGGGUGAGUAACACGUGGGAACGUGCCUUUAGGUUCGGAAUAACUCAGGGAAACUUGUGCUAAUACCGAAUGUGCCCUUCGGGGGAAAGAUUUAUCGCCUUUAGAGCGGCCCGCGUCUGAUUAGCUAGUUGGCGAGGUAAAGGCUCACCAAGGCGACGAUCAGUAGCUGGUCUGAGAGGAUGAUCAGCCACAUUGGGACUGAGACACGGCCCAAACUCCUACGGGAGGCAGCAGUGGGGAAUCUUGCGCAAUGGGCGAAAGCCUGACGCAGCCAUGCCGCGUGAAUGAUGAAGGUCUUAGGAUUGUAAAAUUCUUUCACCGGGGACGAUAAUGACGGUACCCGGAGAAGAAGCCCCGGCUAACUUCGUG